rnacentral:rRNA from 1 species
CCUACGGGUGGCAGCAGUAGGGAAUAUUGCUCAAUGGGGGAAACCCUGAAGCAGCAACGCCGCGUGGAGGAUGAAGGUUUUCGGAUUGUAAACUCCUUUUGUUAGAGAAGAGAAUGACGGUAUCUAACGAAUAAGCACCGGCUAACUCCGUGCCAGCAGCCGCGGUAAUACGGAGGGUGCAAGCGUUACUCGGAAGGACUGGGCGUAAAGGGCGCGUAGGCGGGAUAGCAAGUCAGAGGUGAAAUCCUAUGGCUUAACCAUAGAACUGCAUUUGAAACUGUUAUUCUAGAGUAUGGGAGAGGUAGGUGGAAUUCUUGGUGUAGCGGUAAAAUCCGUAGAGAUCAAGAGGAAUACUCAUUGCGAAGGCGACCUGCUAGAACAUAACUGACGCUGAUGCGCGAAAGCGUGGGGAGCAAACAGGAUUAGAUACCCGGGUAGUC